GAAACUCAAAGGAAGUUGACGGGGCCCGCACAAGCGGUGGAGUAUGUGGUUUAAUUCGAUGCAACGCGAAGAACCUUACCUGGUCUUGACAUCCCGGAGACCCUUAGGAAACUAGGGGGUGCUUCCAUCUGGAAGAAUCUGGAGACAGGUGCUGCAUGGCUGUCGUCAGCUCGUGUCGUGAGAUGUUGGGUUAAGUCCCGCAACGAGCGCAACCCUUGCCUUUAGUUGCCAGCAGUUCGGCUGGGCACUCUAAAGGGACUGCCGGUGUUAAACCGGAGGAAGGUGGGGAUGACGUCAAGUCCUCAUGGCCUUUAUGACCAGGGCUACACACGUACUACAAUGGCCGAUACAAAGGGCAGCGACACUGCGAGGUGAAGCCAAUCCCGUAAAAUCGGUCUCAGUCCGGAUUGGAGUCUGCAACUCGACUCCAUGAAGUUGGAAUCGCUAGUAAUCGUGGAUCAGCAUGCCACGGUGAAUACGUUCCCGGGCCUU
rnacentral:rRNA from 1 species